UCUUCCUCUUCCGAUUCAAGCCCUCCUC
rnacentral:sRNA from 1 species